rnacentral:rRNA from 1 species
ACGUAGGUGGCAAGCGUUGUCCGGAAUUAUUGGGCGUAAAGCGCGCGCAGGCGGGCAAGAAAGGAGGUACGAAAAGUGCGAGGCUCAACCUCGUGAGGGGACAGAAACUGGUAUUCUUGAGUGUCGGAGAGGAAAGUGGAAUUCCAAGUGUAGCGGUGAAAUGCGUAGAGAUUUGGAAGAACACCAGUGGCGAAGGCGACUUUCUGGACGAUGUCUGACGCUGAGGCGCGAAAGCUAGGGGAGCGAACGG